rfam:Pseudozyma hubeiensis SY62 DNA, scaffold: PHS45.
GGCGUCGUGGCGCAAUGGCUAGCGCAUAGAGCUUCUAUCCAUUUCUGAAAGCCACCGGAGGAGUCCUCCGAAUUUUAAGAAAUAACUCUAAGGCUGCGGGUUCGAGUCCCGCCGUCGCCU